AAGUGCUAAAUAAACAUUUUAUUGUUAUUGUGAACAUUUUAAGACUCUCAAUGCAUAGAUAAUAGGACAUUAAAAUGGAAGUUUCAACCCUAGAGCUUAGGAACAAUGCCAGAGCACACACUCUUCAUGGUACAUUUACUAACAUUCAUGAGCACCAUUCCAUUUCUGGGGAUUGAAUAUGGAGAUAUCAGAUAGAUAGAUGAUAGGUAGAUGAUAGAUAGAUAGAUAGAUAGAUAGAUAGAUAGAUAGAUAGAUAGAUAGAUAGAUAGAUAUGAUAGAUGGAUGAAGGAUUUUCAUUACAAUGGGUACUUCAUACCAAAAUUAGGCACCUGAAAAAAUAUUCAAAGGAUGGAAGAAAAAACUGGUCAUCCUACCUUGAGUCACUCAGGCAAAGACAAAUUCAGAGCUUGGGAGAAGUAGAUGGGUAACAAGGAUUGUCUCUGGAGGAUCUAGGCUAUCUCUAAAAGGUGAAAACAUGGUGACAGUCACCUCAAGUCAACCAUCCUCCCACUGGGCCAUGUCCCACCAGAAGAUGAAAUUAUCAGUCAGGAAGAAAGGAAGAGAAGGAUAACAGGUACCCAAGCGGUCUGUCGAUUACAGACACAUGGAAGGCCCUUUCAUCCUGCAAGUGAAGACUGAGGUUGGAUUGAUGGCUUAGAUCCUGCAUUCCUCUUCCCUAAGAGUAGGCAGAAAAUUAGGGGCCCAUUCAUAUUCUCAGCCAAUGACUGGAGGAAGCUCCUCCACCAGAUACAUUUGUUUUUUUUUUAUUUGUUUGUUUAAAACAAUUUUAUUCACA